rnacentral:rRNA from 1 species
AGUCUUCGGACUUAGUGGCGGACGGGUGAGUAACGCGUGAGAAUCUGCCUUUUGGACGGGGAUAACAGUUGGAAACGACUGCUAAGACCCGAUGUGCCUAUGGGUGAAAGUAAUUUAGCCAGAAGAUGAGCUCGCGUCAGAUUAGCUAGUUGGAGUGGUAACGGCACACCAAGGCGACGAUCUGUAGCUGGUCUGAGAGGAUGACCAGCCACACUGGGACUGAGACACGGCCCAGACUCCUACGGGAGGCAGCAGUGGGGAAUUUUCCGCAAUGGGCGAAAGCCUGACGGAGCAAGACCGCGUGGGGGAGGAAGGUCUGUGGAUUGUAAACCCCUUUUGUCAAGGAAGAACACAAUGACGGUACUUGACGAAUCAGCAUCGGCUAACUCCGUGCCAGCAGCCGCGGUAAUACGGAGGAUGCAAGCGUUAUCCGGAUUUAUUGGGCGUAAAGCGUCCGUAGGUGGUUGUUCAAGUCUGCUGUCAAAGCGCGAGGCUUAACUUCGUAAAGGCAGUGGAAACUGAGCGACUUGAGAAUGAUAGGGGCAGAGGGAAUUCCCAGUGUAGCGGUGAAAUGCGUAGAGAUUGGGAAGAACACCGGUGGCGAAAGCGCUCUGCUGGGUCAUAUCUGACACUGAGGGACGAAAGCUAGGGGAGCGAAAGGGAUUAGAUACCCCUGUAGUCCUAGCCGUA